CGUUCCCAUAAGACAAGUCAAAAGAUACGGGAGGAUGUACAGUGAGAAGCAAGUCUUGCCCUUCUCUCAAUCCCUCGGUUCUGAAAAUAGAAUCUAGGGAUAUUUAAAGAAAAACUUGAUGGUAAUAAUAGGUACUGUUUAUUAAAAUCUGUCAUGUGCUGGGCAUAAAGGAGGCAUUUUCCACACACCAUUUUGUCAAUGUCCACAAUGGCCCUAUAUCCUUGGUAUAUUACAAGAGAGGAAAUUGACCCUUGGACAGAAAAAAAUAACAUGUCCAAGGUCACACAGAGAAUAAAAGGCAGAGUCAGGGCCAACAUCACGCUCUUUCCAGUGUGCUGACUGCCUUGCAUAUCACUAAUUAACAUUGGUAUAAUGUUUUCCUAUUUAUAAACUGUGUCGCAAGACAUUUAAGGCUCAUGACUAUCCUGUGGGGCAGGCAGGGAAGACAUUAUUGUUGUAUCCAGAAUACAGACGAUGAGACUGAGGUUCCAGGAGGACCUACGGUUCUAGGCACAUGUGGCUUGGCCCUGUGCCAAGUGCCCUAUAAACCUUGACACAUUUAAUCCCAACAACAGCCAUUGAAGUGUUUUACUUAAGAGUUGAAGAAAGCAAGAGUCAGAGAGGUAAAGUGAUCUGCCUAAGAUCACACCACAAAUAGUUGGGAACACCGGGAACGGGUCACCUGGUGUAUCUAACUUCAAAGUGAUCGCCUUUUAAUUAUCAAGUACUGUAGCUUGCAGAGAUCGAAGUCUGUGGCGUUUUCAUCUGACUAGCCCAUCGAUCCCAGCAUCGGAGCUAGGAGGGUAGUGUUAUUAUUCCCAUUUUCCAGGUGGCAAAACCGAGGCCUUAGGAAGGGGGCGCCGAUUGCCCAAAGUCACACAGCUAACAAGAGGUAGAGGCAGGAUUUGAGGCUGCUUCGGAUUCUCUCUGGGGUUUUCGCCCCACGCCCAGACCUCGGGUCGGUUUCUGCAGAAGCCACAUCCGGUUUUCGCUUCAGCCUGGCGGCGCCUGCCGGUAGUGACUUCACCAGAGACGGUGUGAGCACCUGGCAGGACGGGCGCGGAGGCAGGGAGAGGGUCAGCCCGGGGGCCAGGCGGGAUGACCUCCAGCAGUCCUUCAAGCUUCAGUGUCCUCCCACCUCAGCAUUCCCUUCACGUCCCCGUCCUCAUUUCUCCAGCUCCCGCAUUUGCCAACUUCUUUCUGCCCCUGAAAGGAAUUUUUACAGACUUCGCGCAGAGUCAGAAGGGGAGCCCGGGGGAACCGGUUGUUGCACCUCCGCCACCAUUGGUUGUAGCGCUAUGAGACUCGAUUUGCAUAUCGUGUUCGAUUGGCUCAAGAGACCGGAGUGGGCGGGCUCAAGCAAAUCUACCUGUCAGAGGGUGGAGCACUCAGAGCUUCCGGGCUGGAGAAGGGGGAAGGGCCACCUGGCAGCGGUGAAUGAGGCCGGGCGUCCUACUGAUGGACCCGAGGCAGGAACCCGUCCGUCCACACCCCACACAGCCGCUUCGCAAGCGCGGCCUGGUGCAAACGCGCAUUUGCUGGGACAACACAAACUGUGUGAAGGUAAAAAGACCAAAAACUCUAAGAACACUGUUUUGGACACCGCCAUGGAUAAAGCACCUGUCACAGCACCCAGCAUCUACUGGUUUGCAAUGAGGGCCGUUAUUGGAGCUUAACUAAUCAGGCAGCACACGUGAACUUGCUAGUGACCCUGGUUCACCAGACCUCUGUGCCAGACUGAUGCUAGGAACAGAACUGCUGCAUUAGUCGUCGUCCUCCUCCUCCUCCUCCUUCUAAUCCUAGAGGACCCCAUCCAGCCCUGACCUCUCUGCUACAUGGCUCUCAGGCCAGCCUCCAAACAACCACCUCCAUCUCCAGGC